rnacentral:sRNA from 1 species
GGCUUCCUCUCUCGGUGGCACUUAGCUGAUGGCUUGGCCUGCCCAUCCUGAUGUCAGUGGAAUGCUGUCAAGGCUUCGCACCUGCAGAACCUGGCAGGUGCUUGUUCAACUCCAUUCUGGAUUCCAGAGAAUGCUAAGCCUCUGAGGUGAUAGUCUGGACCCACCUUUGUGACCAGUGCCCUGUGCUUCAGGGACGUGAUAGUGGUCUCCUCUGGAGACCAGAGUGAACUCCGAGCAGGAACACUUCCUCAUUGUCCCUUUUGGGCUUCUUUACAGUGAAGUGACUGCAUCCAGUUUGGUUAAGAUCAAUCUACAAGGAGAUAUAGUAGAUCGUGGAAGCACUAAUCUGGGAGUAAAUCAAGCCGGCUUCACCUUACACUCUGCAAUUUAUGCUGCACGCCCGGACGUGAAGUGCGUUGUGCACAUUCACACCCCAGCAGGGGCUGCGGUCUCUGCAAUGAAAUGUGGCCUCUUGCCAAUCUCCCCGGAGGCGCUUUCCCUUGGAGAAGUGGCUUAUCAUGACUACCAUGGCAUUCUGGUUGAUGAAGAGGAAAAAGUUUUGAUUCAGAAAAAUCUGGGGCCUAAAAGCAAGGUCAGUAGGCAUCUAAUCUGGUAUUUAAAUUACAGCAGAAAGAAGAAUAAAGCAAAGGACCAGUAUUCCCGCCCAGCUCCACAGAGCAUUCAUGCUUCCCCUCAGGUUCUUAUUCUCCGGAACCAUGGGCUCGUGUCAGUUGGAGAGAGCGUUGAGGAGGCCUUCUAUUACAUCCAUAACCUUGUGGUUGCCUGUGAGAUCCAGGUAGGGGACAGCCAUUCCAGUCACUCUACAGUUUAUUUAGAUGUGUCUGGGGUUCACAUCGAUUUUUUUUUUUUGAUACUUAUCGAGUAGGAGAGGAGUCUUUGAGCAAUCUCUUUGCCAAAGAUAAGCUCAUGGAUUUGGGACUUGAUCAGGACAAAUGCUGUUUCACUGAUUGAAGUUGGCAAAGGAUUACUGGGCUUUUCAUUUCUAAUUUUUAAAUUUUCAAAUAUGUCAGUCACUACCAUUUAUGGAGUACUGGUGUGUACAGGCCUGGCAUCAGGUGCUUAGUGUGUGUCAUCACAUGUGUGAUGUCACAUGACCCCCACAGUACUCUUUGAAAAAGCAGGUAUAAAGAGGUAGAGACUCAGAGACUUGCCUGCAGCUUACAGCUGUGAGUUCCCCUCCACUCUGUCAGCCCUUAGUUCACGUUCUCCCCUCUGCUUCUUGACUUAUGUCUGUGGUGUAGUGAGGUCCCAAGUCCUUUGUAGGAUCCUGAAAGGUGCUGUGUUUUCUCAUUUCUCUGCCAACUUUGGUGCCCAAUAUUUUUGUCAUGCUAAAGAAAUACUUCUGAAAGUAACCUUGUGAUCAGUCUGUCACUAUCCAUUCUACAUUUUUUAUUCUUACACUCUAGAGAUUUGGUUUCUUUUGAAACCUACAUUUUUAUUCAAGUCAUCUGACCCUCUUGAUCUCAGUAAGGAACUCAAGCCAUGCUGUGUGUGUUUUGGAAAAGGUUCGAACUCUGGCCAGUGCAGGAGGACCAGACAACUUAGUCCUGCUGAAUCCUGAGAAGUACAAAGCCAAGUCCCGUUCCCCAGGGUCUCCGGUAGGGGAAGGCACUGGAUCGCCUCCCAAGUGGCAGAUUGGUGAGCAGGAAUUUGAAGCCCUCAUGCGGAUGCUCGAUAAUCUGGUAAGAAUGGUGCCACCACUUGAUGAUAAACCUUUUGUUCUAAAAGCAUCAGUGUUGGUGUUCUUAUAGCAAGUGCGAUUGCUGUCUUUUAUGCAGUAUCUGAAUACCUUCACCUUCAAAGUCAUGAAGAAGCACUAGGGUUAACUUCUAAGGUAAAUUACAAUAAAAUGUAGAGGUGAAGGGUUCCUGGUAUUGUUUUAUUUUUUAAAGAUAACCUUGUGUUUGGACUCAGUGGGGACAAGAGCACAGAGAAUGCGUAGGCAGCUGGAUGACCAGCUGUGUCAGCUCAGUCCCCACCAUCCCACAAGCAAGCGAGAGAGGUGGCACUUUUGAAAUCGGUCAGUCAGGUAUUUAGGCUUUUGUCUUAACAGCAAAUCCUGGCUGUCUGGGGCCUGAUGACUGUGUUCCAUGGGUAUCCACUCCCUGUCCACAGUGUGGGAGCCCCUCAGCUGCUUAUUGCAGGGACACAGAGCCCGGCAUGGUCCAGAAGGCGGGCUUAUGGGGCCUGCAGCACACAGGGAAAGUGAGCCCACACUGUGAUAGGAGGGCGGACACACAGGAUGUGUUCUGUGUUACAGGGUUGCCGUGAAGAAUUUCAUUCUUUUGCAAGGACUGGAGAGAAAAUUUUAUGUGGAAGGUAGCCCUUGGAAAUGACCUCAAAGAAUAGGUAGGAUCUUAGCCUGAGUUUGAAAGCCUGGAAAAAAACAGGAUGACAGGAUGAAGAGGCCACAGCACAGCUGCAGACAGUGGGAGUGGGGAGAUGGGAACAUGCACCGUACGGUGCACCUUUCAGGUUCAUCUUGACUUUACCAGGAUCAUUAAAUACUCAGUUCUUAGAGCUGUAUUAGAACACUGCCCUUGGGGUCUCAGUCCCGCAGCCACAUCAUCAGACACAGGGCUCUGGAGCAGAUCCCUUCCAUGCUGCACAUCAGACCUCUUAGAUGGGGGUCACGAUGGUCCAUCCUAACGCCACAUGACCUCAAGUGGUGUAGAUGUGAGGACAUGUCAGUGUGGGGAAAGAAGGCUUCAGAGGGGCCAGUAUCCUUGUAUGCUGCCAGCCAGUACUGGACAAGUGGACACAUUCCAGCCUAAGACAGGCGUGGCCCUUGGACCAGAUCACAGAUCACAGAUGAGAUGGGUGGCUUCAGGAGGCAGGGUGGCUUCAGGAGGCAGGAAGUUUAACUUUCCUGAAGGUUUGGAAUAAAAAGUAUUCAUAGGUCUGAUUCAGGCUAUGUUAAAUGUUCUUACUGAAAUUCUUUGCACUUGGGAUGAAUAUUGUCCGCUAGAAAGGAGGAACUGAGGGUUUUCUGCCUGGGCGCGAUAGUCAGUCAGUGGAGUAGACUCAAUCAGUGACACAGGGACGAACAGAGAAGGCAGAGUCUAGCGUAACUUUUUGAGUUCAUAUAGUCAAUGAGGUUGAUUGCAUUAAUUGACUGUCUACUGUUGAGUCAUGAACAGGACACAGUUCUUGCCCUCAGGAGUUUAUGACCUAAUAAGAGAGAUGGACAAACGAUUCCCAAAUGAGCCCUGCCCCUGUGAUCUGUGCAGUCAUAGGCAUGAUGAGAGCUUGCAGGCAGAGGUGGGUGCCGAUUGGUCAAGGAGGUAGGAAGAGGAGCAAAAGCUCACGAAGAAGGCUGAAGAAGCAGUUAGAGUUGGGUGGCCAGCCAGGGUAGUGAAGCUGCAGGGACUCAUAGCUGGAGAAAGCUUGAGAGUGGGGCAGCCAUGGCCCAGGUGUGCGUCAGGAGCCAGGUCAUCCAGCAUGGCUGUGCAAGGUAAGGAGGGCUGAGGUUGGCCCAGUCACACAGCCCCUGCCUCCUGGUAAAUACGGCGACAUUUUGCUGCUCUUCUACUUACAGUCAGUGUGACGGAGGAGAGAGAGGGGGUCAGAAUGCACAGCAGCCACCAAAGACUGUGCUGAAAGCACAUCCUAGAAGGCGGAGAGGGGGAAGUCAAAAUCAGGCAGAAACUCUGAUUUGGUAGGGAAGGAAGAUAAGGAUGAAUGAUUAAUAAGUAAAACAUUCAUUACAAAAAGCAUGAUGAAUGUUUACUCAAUGUCCUUAAUGUGUACAGAUUGUUUUAAUAUUAGAAGGCCAUAUAGUUUAUAAGAAAUAAACUAGACAGCAAUCACUAAUCAUAGUCCAUGUUUUAAUUUAGCAUCGGGGUUGGCAUAUAUGUUGUUUGCUAAUAACUGAGUAGAGAAUAGUUGCCAAUUUCCACACUAUAAUAUAUGUUGCAGCCGAGCACAGUGGCUCACUCCUGUGAUCCCAGCACUUCAGGAGGCUGAGAUGGGAGACCAGGAGCUUAAGACCAGCCUGGGCAACAUAGCGAGAUUCCUCUCCACAAAAAAUAAAAAAAUUUCAAAAAGAGAGAUAUAUUUCAUUUGAACUUCUACAGUUAGAAAAAAAAUGCUAAAUUGUCCCCCCCCCAAAAAAAAUCAAGAUAUAAUUUCAGUUUCUCAGAGAAGGAACAAAUCCAUAUAUAUUUUCUCUUUCUUUUUUUUUUUUGUAGAGACAGGAUCUCAUCAUGUUGCCUAGGCUGGUGUUGAACUCCUGGGCUGAAGCAGUCCUCCCACCUCAGCCUCCCAAAGUGCUAGGAUUAUGGGUGUAAACUACCACGCCUGACCCAAAUCCAUGGUUUUAACUACAAGCCAGAUAGUAGUUCUGAGGUCUGAGUAUUACUUCUGGUUUUGGUUUAACAGCAUUUAAAGGGGAAGAAUAAAGAAAAUUCCAUAUGGUUUCAGGAUAAAAUGGUGUUGAUGAGUCCUGGGUGGUUUAUUCUGAAGUUGUGGAGAUACUGAGUUCUGGCUCUUUAAGCACAAGGAAACUUGAAUUAAUAAGAACUGUGUUUUUCUGCAGAUAGUCUUUAUGGCAGAGUCAUUCUCUUUUAUUAUUCCUCAACAAAGCAUGCUCAGAAAUGGGAAAACUGCCAGUACAGACAUUUACCUUAUCUUUCUGAGGACAAUUAUGAAAAUAAAACCCAAAACAACUCCAUUCGUGAUCGUUAUUAACCUUUUUUAAAAAAUGUAGGCCGGUCGCGAUGGCUGACGCCUGUCAUCCCAGCAUUUUGGGAGGCCAAGGCAGGCGGAUCACCUAAAGUCAGGAGUUCAAGACCAGCCUGGCCAACAUGGUGAAACCCCCUUCUCUACAAAAAUUAGCCAGGUGUGGUGGAGGGUGCCUGUAAUCCCAGCUACUCGGGAGGCUGAGGUAGAAGAAGCACUUGAACCCGGGAGGCAGAGGUUGCAGUGAGCCAAGGUCGAGCCACAGCACUUCAGCCUGGGUGACAGAGCAAGACUCCAUCUCAAAAAAAUAAAAGGAGGCCGGGCGUGGUGGCUCAUAUCUAUAAUCCCAGCACUUUGGGAGGCUGAGGCAGGUGGGUCAUGAGGUCAGGAGAUUGAGACCGUCCUGGCUAAUACAGUGAAAUUCCGUCUCUACUAAAAAUGCAAAAAAUUAGCCGGGUGUGGUGGCACGUGCCUGUGGUCCCAGCU